UACGAAGGGGGCUAGCGUUGCUCGGAAUCACUGGGCGUAAAGGGCGCGUAGGCGGCCGAUCAAGUCGGGGGUGAAAUCCCAGGGCUCAACCCUGGAAUUGCCUUCGAUACUGUUUGGCUUGAGUCUGGUAGAGGUUGGUGGAACUGCGAGUGUAGAGGUGAAAUUCGUAGAUAUUCGCAAGAACACCAGUGGCGAAGGCGGCUCACUGGUCCGGAACUGACGCUGAGGCACGACAGCGUGGGGAGCAAACAGG
rnacentral:rRNA from 1 species